UACGGGGGGGGCAAGCGUUGUUCGGAUUUACUGGGCGUAAAGGGCGCGUAGGCGGCGCAACAAGUCACUUGUGAAAUCUCCGGGCUUAACCCGGAGCGGUCAAGUGAUACUGUCGUGCUAGAGUGCGGAAGGGACUACUGGAAUUCUCGGUGUAGCGGUGAAAUGCGUAGAUAUCGAGAGGAACACCUGCGGCGAAGGCGGGUAGCUGGGCCGACACUGACGCUGAUGCGCGAAAGCCAGGGGAGCGAACGGG
rnacentral:rRNA from 1 species